CUCCAAUGCUUAUUUCUUUGUUCUGGAGAUAAGUUAUGUCUCGCUGCCUCAUAUUUUUAGCAGGAACAAGAAGCAUCCAUUUCUAAAAAAUUGUGAUCCAGUCUGUCCAUUUUACAAGAAUCUCCAUACUGAUAUCUUGUGCAUUGCUGAUCUGAAGAAACAUGUCGAAGACUUGUGAGGCCUUUGGUACAGAGCUGAACCAUCUGGAACUUUGGCAAUUGUCAUGCUAGCAACUGUAUGCAAAUAUAAGAGAUGGAUUUAUACACAAGGCGGUCCUGAUCGGAUUUUGCAAAAGGAUGAGGUGUUGAAGUUAUGAGAUUGGUUUGGGAGCCGAGAGUUGCAAGUCUUCAGUAAAGCCUGAGAUAUUCGCUUAAUGGUCCAGUUUCUUAAGUUUUGGAGGUUAGUUUUGUCAUCACUGCUAUGGUAUAAGCGUCUCAAAUUAAACUCUUCUGUGAUAGGGAAAAUAAGUUAAUCCAAAUCAUUUAGCCUCUGAAAAUAUCAAAUUCUAUGAAUGUUGAUUAUAUAUUUUAGUUAUA